GUACACUCCUGCGGGAGGCAGCAGUGGGGAAUAUUGAACAAUGGGCGCAAGCCUGAUCCAGCCAUGCCGCGUGAGUGAUGAAGGCCCUAGGGUUGUAAAGCUCUUUCACCGGAGAAGAUAAUGACGGUAUCCGGAGAAGAAGCCCCGGCUAACUUCGUGCCAGCAGCCGCGGUAAUACGAAGGGGGCUAGCGUUGUUCGGAAUUACUGGGCGUAAAGCGCACGUAGGCGGAUCGAUCAGUCAGGGGUGAAAUCCCAGGGCUCAACCCUGGAACUGCCUUUGAUACUGUCGAUCUGGAGUAUGGAAGAGGUGAGUGGAAUUCCGAGUGUAGAGGUGAAAUUCGUAGAUAUUCGGAGGAACACCAGUGGCGAAGGCGGCUCACUGGUCCAUUACUGACGCUGAGGUGCGAAAGCGUGGGGAGCAAACAGGAUUAGAAACCCGGGUAGUCCC
rnacentral:rRNA from 1 species